rnacentral:rRNA from 1 species
AGAGUUUGAUCCUGGCUCAGGAUGAACGCUAGCGGCAGGCCUAAUACAUGCAAGUCGAACGGUGAUAGCAAUAUCAUAGUGGCGCACGGGUGCGUGACACGUAUGCAACCUACCUUAUACUGAGGGAUAGCCUUUCGAAAGGGAGAUUAAUACCUCAUAACACAUUGAACUGGCAUCAGUUUAUUGUUAAAGAUUUAUUGGUAUAAGAUGGGCAUGCGUCCAAUUAGUUAGUUGGCGAGGUAACGGCUCACCAAGACGAUGAUUGGUAGGGGAACUGAGAGGUUAAUCCCCCACACUGGCACUGAGAUACGGGCCAGACUCCUACGGGAGGCAGCAGUAGGGAAUAUUGGGCAAUGGAGGCAACUCUGACCCAGCCAUGCCGCGUGCAGGAAGAAGGCGUUAUGCGUUGUAAACUGCUUUUAUAUAGGAAGAAAUAGACCUUGCGAGGUAAGUUGACGGUACUAUAUGAAUAAGCACCGGCUAACUCCGUGCCAGCAGCCGCGGUAAUACGGAGGGUGCAAGCGUUGUCCGGAUUUAUUGGGUUUAAAGGGUGCGUAGGCGGUUUAUUAAGUCAGUGGUGAAAGACGGUCGCUCAACGAUUGCAGUGCCAUUGAUACUGGUAGACUUGAGUG